AGAGGAGAGCAGACAAGCCAGACAGGGAAAAAAAGGGAAAGAAAACGCAGGGUAAGAACAUACUGUACAAAUCAUCUACUGUGAAAGUGAGGUCAGCAGAUGCUGAUCAGCCAAUGAGCAUCUUGAUCUGUUACAACAUGAGGAAACUGCAUAAUGCACCUCUUAUUAUUUCAUCCAUUUCCCAGGGAAUUGCACGAACAGAAGCAUUAUUAUUCAAAGCAGACACAUCGGCAGUUAUUGACGUCUCGGUGAUGAUACCUAGAGCGAAGACUAUCAAGAAACAAGGCCAUUUUCUUGUCCUCAUGUUGACGAUCACUCCUAGCAAGUUAAUGAAUGGUACAUUCACACGUGGCACACGUCUGUUAAUGCCAAGCUCUCUUCAUUCUUAAAAUCAUGAUGCCCUCAGCUCAUCAUGAUGUCAUUUGAGCUCAGCCAAUAAGACGAAAGGCGGACACACUGAAUGUCAGAUACACUGAUGGACUGCUGGUCAGAUCAAUCUAGACAUGUUCACAGGAGCUGGCGUUUCUCUUCUUCAGAGGUCUUCAAACACUAUACCAUUAAUACACUUUUAGAUGGAUAGACAGAACAAUAGAUAAAUAGAACGACAGACAGAAUGACAGAACAACAGAUAGAAUAGAAUAGAAUGUUAGAUAAAAUGAUAGAAUGAUAGAUAGAAUGAUAGAACGGUAGAUAGAACGAUAGAACGAUAGAACAAUAGAUAGAACGAUAGAUAGAACAAUAGAACGACAGAUAGAAUGAUAGAUAAAAUGAUAGAAUGAUAGAUAGAAUGAUAGAAAGAUAGAACGAUAGGACGAUAGAUAGAUACAUAGAACAAUAGAAUGAUAGAAUGAUAGAUAGAUAGAAUGAUAGAUAGAACGAUAGAUAGAACAAUAGAACAAUAGAUAUAUAGAUAGAAUGAUAGAUAGAACAACAGAUAAAACGAUAUAACGAUAGAUAGAACAAUAGAACAAUAGAUAUAUAGAUAGAAUGAUAGAAUGAUAGAUAGAACAACAGAUAAAACGAUAGAACGAUAGAACGAUAGAUAGAUAGAUAGAUAGAUAGAUAGAUAGAAUGACAGAACGAUAGAUAGAAUGAUAGAAUGAUAGAAUGAUAGAACGAUAGAACGAUAGAACGAUAGAUAGAUAGAUAGAUAGAUAGAUAGAUAGAUAGAUAGAUAGAUAGAUAGAUAGAUAGAUAGAUAGAUAGAAAAAAGUAAAAUGUCAUAAUGUCUCACAUAAAGACAGAGAUCUGUAAGAAAUCACUGAAUUUUCUAUAAUACUAACAAAACUUUCCUUUCCGUUCUUUCCCCAAAUGCUAUUGGCACAAGGCUGCCAUCCGUUUCCAAAAAAGUGCCAAACGCUUCCACACAUGCAGCCGUGCCGUGUGUUUAUAGAAGAGAAGCUCUGCUUACAACAGUCACCCAGCAUGAGGAACGGCCUGCUUGUGCGUGUUUACAUUUUCAUUCAUGUGUUGUGAACUGCAGAUCACCUUUUUUGAUCAAUGUAAACAAACAAGGUCACUACAUUAUUCACUAUGUACCACGGGAAUUGCCAUUUGUAGCCUAACAACCACAAGAUACAACAUCACCCCACUAAAAACAAGAGCGAGAGAGAGAGAGAGAGGGAGAAAGUGAAUUCUCUCAUGCACUGGACAUAAUUAUACCCUCAUUGAGCCAAUCACAUGACAGCGCCUGAAAACAGCAGAGGGCCACGCCCAGACCGAGCAACAAAUGCCUUCUAUUGGGAUGUCAUUAUCUGCUUAUAGGAUUCACGUGCUAAAAGACGAGAGAGAGUGAGAGAGAGAGAAAAGGGAGGGUUGGGAGAAGAAGAAAUUGGGAAAAACAAACUCCAGAGACCUGAGUCACUGCCACUGAAGAAAGGAGGGGAGUAGUUGAAGGAAGGAAGGACGGAUUGGGAGACUGAAACAGAAAGAUAGUUUAUUUUUGUGUCAUUGUAAAAUUUAAAUAUGAAAUACCUAUAUAUAUAUAUACACACAGAUAUAUUACACUUAUAAAUACAUAAAAUAUAAAUAUGAUUUACCAUAAAAAAUAAUGGUUUAUUACAGAACAUUAUUUCUAAUUUGUUUAUAUAAAUGUAUAUAUUUAUAUCAUAUUAUUAUCGAUAGUAAAGGAAGGAUGGAGAGACCAAAUGAGAGAGAAAAAG
ensembl:lncRNA